AUAGGAGAAAAUUGACACUUACUGGGUGGGCAGAGCAACAUUGUUUUGACAGUGAAAAUUACCAAUUUAUAAAUUUUUAAGAAAAGCAUGCCUAGCACAGACCACCUGGUUACCAAGAGGAAGCUGAAGAGGAGAUUCUGCUAGAGGUUUCUUGAGUACAGGCGAUCAGGCUGCAAAAGGGAACUAUGGACUCCUUGAUCUCAUACAAGCUUUAAGAUGGACUAGUGAAAACAUUGGAUUCUUUGGUGGUGACCCCUUAAGAAUCACUGUUUUUGGAUCUGGUGCUGGGGGUUCAUGUGUCAACCUGCUGACUUUAUCCCAUUAUUCUGAAGGUAACCGUUGGAGCAAUUCAACCAAAGGACUUUUUCAACGAGCAAUAGCUCAAAGUGGAACAGCCCUUUCCAGCUGGGCUGUUAGUUUUCAACCUGCAAAAUAUGCUAGAAUGUUGGCCACAAAAGUUGGUUGCAAUGUUUCAGAUACAGUAGAGUUAGUGGAAUGCCUACAGAAGAAGCCUUACAAAGAACUUGUUGACCAAGAUAUUCAACCAGCUCGAUACCACAUAGCCUUUGGACCUGUGAUUGAUGGUGAUGUAAUACCAGACGACCCUCAGAUAUUGAUGGAGCAAGGAGAGUUUCUCAACUAUGAUAUAAUGUUAGGAGUGAACCAAGGGGAAGGGUUAAAAUUUGUUGAAAAUAUAGUAGAUAGCGAUGAUGGUAUAUCAGCUAGUGAUUUUGACUUUGCUGUUUCAAAUUUUGUUGAUAAUUUAUAUGGAUAUCCUGAAGGCAAAGAUGUUUUGAGAGAAACCAUUAAGUUCAUGUAUACUGACUGGGCUGACCGUCAUAACCCUGAAACCAGAAGAAA
rnacentral:sRNA from 1 species